CGCGGGAUGGAGCAGCCCGGUAGCUCGUCAGGCUCAUAACCUGAAGGUGGCAGGUUCAAAUCCUGCCCCCGCAACCA
rnacentral:tRNA from 1 species